rnacentral:rRNA from 1 species
UACGUAGGGGGCGAGCGUUGUCCGGAUUCAUUGGGCGUAAAGAGCUCGUAGGCGGUUUGGUAAGUCGGGUGUGAAAACCCCAGGCUCAACCUGGGGACGCCACCUGAUACUGCUAUGACUUGAGUCUGGUAGGGGAUCACGGAAUUCCUGGUGUAGCGGUGAAAUGCGCAGAUAUCAGGAGGAACACCGGUGGCGAAGGCGGCUCUCUGGGACGGUACUGACGCUGAGACGCGAAAGCGUGGGGAGCGAACAGG